rnacentral:piRNA from 1 species
UAUCAGAACUCCAUUGAUCGGUGUUGAAACU